rnacentral:rRNA from 1 species
AGAGUUUGAUCCUGGCUCAGAUUGAACGCUGGCGGCAUGGCUAAAACAUGCAAGUCGAACGCGAAAGCGGGGGCAACUCCGCGAGUAGAGUGGCGAAAGGGCGAGUAAUGCGUUUCUAACGUACCCCGGACUCAGGGAUAGCUCGGCGAAAGCCGGAUUAAUACCUGAUGAUGCUGGCGGGCCGCAUGGUCUGCCAGCCAAAGGCUUGCUGGUCUGGGAGCGGGGAACGUCCUACCAGCUAGUUGGUGAGGUAACGGCUCACCAAGGCGAAGACGGGUAGCGGGUGUGAGAGCACGGCCCGCCGCAUCGGGACUGAGACACUGCCCGGACUCCUACGGGAGGCUGCAGUAACGAAUAUUCCGCAAUGGACGCAAGUCUGACGGAGCGAUGCCGCGUGCAGGACGAAGCCCUUCGGGGUGUAAACUGCUGUCAGGGGUAAGCAACCCAAUGAGCUACCCCAAAGGAAGAGGCGACUAACUCUGUGCCAGCAGUCGCGGUAAUACAGAGGCCUCGAGCGUUAAUCGGAAUCACUGGGCUUAAAGGGUGCGUAGGCGGGUCCGUAAGUGCCUUGUGAAAUCCCCUGGCUUAACCAGGGAACGGCUGGGCAGACUGCGGGCCUUGAGGUCGGUAGGGGUCGCUGGAACGGUUGGUGGAGCGGUGAAAUGCGUAGAUAUCAACCGGAACGCCAAAGGUGAAGACAGGCGACUGGGCCGACUCUGACGCUGAGGCACGAAAGCGUGGGGAGCAAACGGGAUUAGAUACCCCGGUAGUCCACGCCCUAAACGAUGCGCACUGGAUCCUGGAGGCUCUGACGCCAUCAGGGUCGCAGCCAAAGUGCUAAGUGCGCCGCCUGGGGAGUACGGUCGCAAGGCUAAAACUCAAAGGAAUUGACGGGGACUCACACAAGCGGUGGAACAUGUGGCUCAAUUCUAAACAACGCGAAGAACCUUAUCCAGGGCUUGACAUGCAUGGAUUAGACCGGCGAAAGUCGGUCAACACUCGCAAGAGCGGAACAUGCACAGGUGCUGCAUGGCUGUCGUCAGCUCGUGCUGUGAAGUGUCGGGUUAAAUCCCUUAACGAGCGAGCCCCUGUCGCUAGUUGCUAAACCGCAAGGUAGGACUCUAGCGAGACUGCCGGUGUCAAACCGGAGGAAGGUGGGGACGACGUCAAGUCCUCAUGGCCUUUAUGCCCUGGGCUGCACACGUGCUACAAUGGCGACGACAAAGCGACGCAAGAGCGCAAGCUGGAGCAAAUCGCACAAAAGUCGCCCCAGUUCAGAUCGGGGUCUGCAACUCGACCCCGUGAAGUCGGAAUCGCUAGUAAUCGCGGAUCAGCUACGCCGCGGUGAAUGUGUUCCUGAGUCUUGUACACACCGCCCGUCAAGUCAUGGAAGCCGGGAGUACCCGAAGUCGCUCCGUUUCAGGAGUGCCCACGGUAAGCUCGGUGACUGGGACUAAGUCUUAACAAGGUA